rnacentral:rRNA from 1 species
AUUGAACGCUGGCGGCAGGCUUAACACAUGCAAGUCGAGCGGAUGAGGGAAGCUUGCUUCCCGAUUUAGCGGCGGACGGGUGAGUAAUGCCUAGGAAUCUGCCUAUUAGUGGGGGAUAACGUUCCGAAAGGAACGCUAAUACCGCAUACGUCCUACGGGAGAAAGUGGGGGAUCUUCGGACCUUACGCUAAUAGAUGAGCCUAGGUCGGAUUAGCUAGUUGGUGAGGUAACGGCUCACCAAGGAGACGAUCCGUAGCUGGUCUGAGAGGGAUGAUCAGCCACACUGGAACUGAGACACGGUCCAGACUCCUACGGGAGGCAGCAGUGGGGAAUAUUGGACAAUGGGCGAAAGCCUGAUCCAGCCAUGCCGCGUGUGUGAAGAAGGUCUUCGGAUUGUAAAGCACUUUAAGUUGGGAGGAAGAGUUGUAAGCUAAUAUCUUGCAGCUUUGACGUUACCAACAGAAUAAGCACCGGCUAACUCUGUGCCAGCCGCCGCCGUAACAC